rnacentral:lncRNA from 1 species
UACCAUUAACUUGGGCUUGAAUAGAGACUGGGAGUGGCUGGACAUGGACACACCCCCAGAACCCCGACCAGGGGUAUUCUAUCUGCUACUCAAGAUCCAUAAACCCGGAAACCCUGGACGCCCCAUCAUCUCAGGCAUUGGCACUCUUACAGCAGGAUUAUCUGGCUAUUUGGACUCUCUCCUCAGACCCUAUGCUACCAGCACUCCCAGCUAUCUUCGAGACACCACCGACUUCCUGAGGAAACUACAAUGCAUUGGUGUUCUUCCUGAAAACACCAUCCUGGCCACUAUGGAUAUAGAAGCACUUUACACCAAUAUUCCACAUGAGGAUGGACUACAAGCUGUCAGGAACAGUAUCCCUGAUGAGGCCACAGCACGCCUGGUGGCUGAGCUUUGUGACUUUGUCCUCAUCCACAAUCACUUCAGAUUUGGGGACAACUUAUACCUUCAAGUCAGUGGCACUGCUAUGGGUACCCGCAUGGCCCCAAAUCUGUAUGGCUGACUUAGAACAACGCUUCCUCAGCUCUCGUCCCCUAGUGCCCCUCCUCUACUUGUGCUACAUUGAUGACAUCUUCAUCAUAUGGACCCAUGGAAAGGAGGCCCUUGAAGAAUUCCACCUGGACUUCAACAAUUUCCACCCCACCAUCAACCUCAGCCUGGACCAGUCCACACAAGAGAUCCACUUCCUGGACACUACAGUGCAAAUAAGUGAUGGUCACAAACACCACCCUAUACCGGAAACCUACAGACCGCUAUAUGUACCUACAUGCCUCCAGCUUCCAUCCAAGACACAUCACACGAUCCAUUGUCUAAGAUACAACCGUAUUUGCUCCAACCCCUCAGACAGAGACAAACACCUACAAGAUCUUUAUCAAGCAUUUGUGAGACUACAAUACCCACCUGGGGAAGUGAGGAAACAGAUUGACAGAGCAAGACGGGUACCCAGAAAUCACCUACUACAGGACAGGCCCAACAAGGACAAUAACAGAACACCACUGGCCAUCACAUACAGCCCCCAGCUAAAACCUCUCCAAUGCAUUAUCCACAAUCUACAACCUAUCCUGGAAAAUGAUCCCUCACUCUCACAGACCUUGGGAGGCAGGCCAGUCCUCGCUUACAGACAACCCCCCAACCUGAAGCAAAUACUCACCAGCAACUACACACCACACCACAGAAACACCAACCCAGGAACCAAUUCCUGUNNNNNNNNNNNNNNNNNNNNNNNNNNN